GUGAUAUUAAAAGACGGUGGAAAGAACACGGACAAGCUGUGUGGGAAGAGAGCGCACUUGUUUUGGCAGAGCGACACAGGCAACCUCGAAGUCUCCUUCAAGUCGAACUGCUUCCGGCAACAUAUUGGCUUCGCGUGCACCGUCUGCGCUUCAGGUCCUCUUCCUGCUACGGCACCUAACUGCA